GCGUCAGUAGUGCAACGGGUUAGAGCAUGCUCUCCCAUAUAGAGUGAGAUGUAGGUUCAAGCCCAGCGUGACGCG